rnacentral:rRNA from 1 species
CCGGAGCUUGCUCCACCGGAAAAAGAGGAGUGGCGAACGGGUGAGUAACACGUGGGUAACCUGCCCAUCAGAAGGGGAUAACACUUGGAAACAGGUGCUAAUACCGUAUAACAAUCAAAACCGCAUGGUUUUGAUUUGAAAGGCGCUUUCGGGUGUCGCUGAUGGAUGGACCCGCGGUGCAUUAGCUAGUUGGUGAGGUAACGGCUCACCAAGGCCACGAUGCAUAGCCGACCUGAGAGGGUGAUCGGCCACAUUGGGACUGAGACACGGCCCAAACUCCUACGGGAGGCAGCAGUAGGGAAUCUUCGGCAAUGGACGAAAGUCUGACCGAGCAACGCCGCGUGAGUGAAGAAGGUUUUCGGAUCGUAAAACUCUGUUGUUAGAGAAGAAAAAGGAUGAGAGUAACUGUUCAUCCCUUGACGGUAUCUAACCAGAAGGCCACGGCUAACUACGUGCCAGCAGCCGCGGUAAUACGUAGGUGGCAAGCGUUGUCCGGAUUUAUUGGGCGUAAAGCGAGCGCAGGCGGUUUCUUAAGUCUGAUGUGAAAGCCCCCGGCUCAACCGGGGAGGGUCAUUGGAAACUGGGAGACUUGAGUGCAGAAGAGGAGAGUGGAAUUCCAUGUGUAGCGGUGAAAUGCGUAGAUAUAUGGAGGAACACCAGUGGCGAAGGCG